UACCUGGUUGAUCCUGCCAGUAGUCAUAUGCUUGUCUCAAAGAUAAGCCAUGGCAGGUGUAAUUAUAAACUAUUUCAAACGGGGAA
rnacentral:rRNA from 1 species